CCUCGGCCUCCCACAAGGCUGGGAUUACAGGCGUGAGCCACCGUGCCCAGCCAGUUUCACGUUUUAUUCACUCUUCAGAGCACAGAGGCCUCUGCCUGGCAUUGGGGCACGGGCAAGGUGUCUGUGGGCAGCGGGUCCCACCAAGGGUUCCAGGGCAGCAGAUGGUAGGCAGGGCGGGGAGACCAUGUGCAUGGUACCCACCCCUGUGCCGGCCGGCAGGAGAAGCCAGGCUCAUGCUGAGUCAGGCUAACUCUAACAUUUAUCAGGAACUUGAUCUACUUCAAUGUGAUGUAAGAAAAUCAAAUGUGCUUUCAGCAGAAGAUCCAGGGAGGAAACCAACAAUAGAGAGAAAUGGUGGCUUCUGCUGCCUUACAGAGUGGGAGCUGUGCCUGAGCCUUCUGCCUCUCAGCCCAGAGCCUGGCAUUUCUUGAACCAUGAGACGUAAAGUUUAUUGUUGAGAGCCUGAGAAACUGUGGAUGCUGGGGACGGGUGAGUGGCUGGGGACGGGUGAGUGGCCUGCGACGGCCGCCCUGGGCUCCGUCCGCGGCUCUGCAAAUCCUUGGGCCACGGACACCAGCACGAAUGAGUCCAGGACCUGUGUGGGGGGCCCACCCUGCCCCCGUUGGUCCUGUGGUCCAGGGGUCCCCAGGGAGCAGUUGGG
rnacentral:lncRNA from 10 species